CACGUAGUUAGCCGGGGCUUCUUACUCAGGUACCGUCACUUUCUUCCCUGCUGAUAGAGCUUUACAUACCGAAAUACUUCUUCACUCACGCGGCGUCGCUGCAUCAGGGUUUCCCCCAUUGUGCAAUAUUCCCCACUGCUGCCUCCCGUAGGAGUUUGGGCCGUGUCUCAGUCCCAAUGUGGCCGGUCACCCUCUCAGGUCGGCUACUGAUCGUCGGCUUGGUGGGCCGCUACCCCGCCAACUACCUAAUCAGACGCGGGUCCAUCUCAUACCACCGGAGUUUUUCACACAAGACCAUGCGGUCCCGUGCGCUUAUGCGGUAUUAGCAGUCAUUUCUAACUGUUAUCCCCCUGUAUGAGGCAGGUUACCCACGCGUUACUCACCCGUCCGCCGCUCAGUCAAUUCCAAUUCCAUCCGUAAACUUCCUCAAAAUCGCUUCGCUCGACUUGCAUGUGUUAGGCACGCCGCCAGCGUUCAUCCUGAGCCAGGAUCAAACUCU
rnacentral:rRNA from 1 species